CCGCAUGGGGAUAUUUGCUAAAGAUUCAUCGCUGAUAGAUAGGCAUGCGUUCCAUUAGGCAGUUGGCGGGGUAACGGCCCACCAAACCGACGAUGGAUAGGGGUUCUGAGAGGAAGGUCCCCCACAUUGGUACUGAGACACGGACCAAACUCCUACGGGAGGCAGCAGUGAGGAAUAUUGGUCAAUGGGCGUAAGCCUGAACCAGCCAAGUCGCGUGAGGGAUGAAGGUUCUAUGGAUCGUAAACCUCUUUUAUAAGGGAAUAAAGUGUGGGACGUGUCCUAUUUUGUAUGUACCUUAUGAAUAAGGAUCGGCUAACUCCGUGCCAGCAGCCGCGGUAAUACGGAGGAUCCGAGCGUUAUCCGGAUUUAUUGGGUUUAAAGGGUGCGUAGGCGGCCUUUUAAGUCAGCGGUGAAAGUCUGUGGCUCAACCAUAGAAUUGCCGUUGAAACUGGGGGGCUUGAGUAUGUUUGAGGCAGGCGGAAUGCGUGGUGUAGCGGUGAAAUGCUUAGAUAUCACGCAGAACCCCGAUUGCGAAGGCAGCCUGCCAAGCCAUGACUGACGCUGAUGCACGAAAGCGUGGGGAUCAAACAGGAUUAGAUACCCUGGUAGUCCACGCAGUAAACGAUGAUCACUAGCUGUUUGCGAUACAGUGUAAGCGGCACAG
rnacentral:rRNA from 1 species